UUUUAGGGCAUUAACAUGACUACCUUCAUUUUUUUCACAGAUUGAUGAAAGAGUAAACAAGCGAAGAACAAACUGAUUUGCCCUAGCCGGCAUUACACAACUCAUUUCCCAUUUCCGAUUGAUGAGAAGUUAAACGAAGGAAAGUGAGCGAUGCCGUUGUUUAUAUCGGAUGAGGAAUACGAGCGGUGCUCGCAAGAUGCCGGUUUGGUAGCGGUGAAAGCUGAUGAGUUUAUUCGCGAUUUGUACAAUCAACUGGAAAAUGUGAAAGCACAGGCUGAUGCUGCAUCUAUUACAGCUGAACAGACUUGUUCUGUUCUUGAACAGAAGUAUGUCUCGCUUUCUUCUGAGUAUUCCGCGCUUCAACUGCAGUACUCUCAACUUAAUUCUUCCUUUGAGGAACGCCUGUCUGAACUCUCUCAAGCACAAGCCGAGAAACAGCACGCUUUCAUCCAAUCUAUUGGAAAGGAUGGAGAUGUGGACCGGUUAUCAACAGAGGCUUCAGAACUCCGGAAAACAAAGAGGCAAUUGAUGGAAUUGGUAGAACAGAAAGACUUGGAGAUUAGUGAGAAAAAUUCCACUAUCAAAAGCUAUCUUGAUAAGAUAGUUCACUUGACUGAUAUUGCUGCAAAUAGGGAAGUACGGUUCUGUGACUUGGAGACUGAAGUGUUGCGCUGUCAGGCUUCUUGUUCGCGGCUUUUGCAGGAGAAGGAGCUUGUUGAGAGGCAUAAUGCUUGGCUUAAUGACGAGUUAACAACAAAGGUCAAUGGUCUCAUGGAGCUGCGUAAAGCUCAUUCUGAGCUUGAGGCUGAUAUGUCUGCCAAACUUGUUGAUGCUGAGAAAAAAAUUAUUGAAUGUGAUAGGCGUUUGAAGAGAAAAGAGGAACAAGUUAGAGAAAUGGAGUUGAAGUUCACUUCUCUUGAGCAAGAUUUAUUAUCCACCAAGGAUGUAGCAGCUGCAAAAGAGGACCAAAUGUCUGGUGAAAUUGCAACGUUAAACAAGCUAGUGGAGUUGUACAAGGAGAGCUCCGAGGAAUGGUCUAAAAAGGCAGGAGAACUUGAAGGAGUAAUUAAAGCUCUGGAGACUCAUGGAAACCAAAUAGAGAAUGACUAUAAAGAGAGGCUUGAGAAAGAAGUAUCUGCAAAGAUAGAACUAAAGGAGGAGGUUGCAUGUUUGAAAAAUAAGCUUGCGAAAAGCGAAGCAGAAUUAAAAAAAGGAGAAGAUACAUUGAAGCUUCUUCCUUUGAGUUAUUUUUCUAGUGAAUCAUUGCCAAACUCAGUUGAAGCUGGUGACAUGGUUGAGGAUGAUCGGAUGGUCGUACCUAGUCUGCCAAUUGGUGUUUCAGGAACUGCAUUAGCCGCUUCACUUCUUCGGGAGGGUUGGAGUCUGUCUAAGAUGUACACCAAAUAUCAGGAAACUGUUGAUGCACUACGACAUGAACAAUUGGGAAGAAAACAAGCUCAAGAUGUACUGGAGCGAGUACUCUGUGAAAUAGAGGAGAAAGCUGGAGUUAUCUUGGAUGAGCGAGCGGAGCAUGAAAGAUUGGAAGAUGCUUACUCUGUGCUAAAUGAAAAGCUGCAGCAUUCCCUCUCUCAGCAAGCUGCUUUAGAGAGGAAUAUUCAGGAAUUCAAUGCUGAUAUGAGAAGGCGUGACCGUGAUUAUGCUGUUGCUCAGGCAGAGAUAGUUGACCUCCAAGAACAGGUGACAGUGCUUUUAAAGGAAUGUCGUGAUAUACAAUUCCGUGGUGGAUCUGUGGGACCUAAAAAUGACAAUUCUGUGGUGUCAAAUUCUUUAAUUAUGUUUGGUGCUGAAUCUAAUUCUGAUGAUGUUGGAAGGCACUUGAGCUACAAGGAUAUAAAUGGCCUGGUUGAACAAAAUGUCCAGCUAAGAGGCCUAGUUCGGAGCCUUACUGACCAGAUUGAGAACAGAGAGUCAGAGUUGAAGGAAAAGUAUGAGAAGGAGCUUCAGAAGCAUGUUGACAAAGCUACCUCCCAGGUUAAUGCAGUACUGGCAAAAGCGGAUGAGCAGGGUACAAUGAUUAAAUCACUUCAUGCAUCUGUGGCGAUGUACAGAAAGCUCUUUGAAGAGCAUACAGUUGUUUCUUCUGAUACUCGAUCUGAAAAAGUAGCAGAGGUUGAGAGGCAGGAAGUGAUGCUUUUGCCUGAUUCUUCGCAUGAAGUUUUAGGGAGAGCACAAGAACGGGCUUUUGAGCGUGUAAAAUGUCUUGAAGAAGAGUUGUCAAGAUUACGCAGCGAGAUUAUUUCUCUUCGGUCAGAGCGGGAUAAGUCAGCUCUGGAAGCACAGUUUGCUCGAGAUAAACUUGACAGAUAUAUGAAAGAUUUUGAGCUCCAGAGAGAGGAGCAUAAUGGUGUGAUCACGAGAAAUGUUGAGUUCUCACAGUUGAUAGUUGACUACCAGAAGAAGCUGCGAGAAAGUUAUGAGUCAUUGAAUGCUGCUGAGGAACUUUCUCAAAAGCUAAAACUGGAGGUGUCUAUUCUAAAGGAUGAAAAGGGUAUGCUGGUAAAUGCCGAAAAGAGAGCUUCGGAUGAAGUACGUAAUUUGUCACAAAGGGUGCAUAGUUUGCAGGUCCAUUUAGAUACAUUGCAGAGUACUGAGAACGUUCGUGACGAGGCAAGAGCUGCUGAGAGGAGAAAGCAAGAAGAGUAUAUUAAGCUUAUUGAGAAAGAAUGGGCUGAAGCUAAGAAAGAAUUGCAAGAACAGCGUGAUAAUGUUCGAAACCUUAUACCUGAGAGAGAAGAUGCUCUAAAGAAUGCAUUGAGACAAAUUGAGGAAAUGAGGAAGGAAUUGGCUAGCACUUCACAUUCUGUGGCUGCUGCUGAAGCUAGAGUUGUUGUUGCUGAGGCGCGAUCUGCUGAUUUAGAGGAAAAAUUGCAAGCUUUGCAAAAAAAGGUUUCUGAAAGAGCUGAUGAAGGUGGUCCUUCCUCUUCUACUGAGCUUUUUGACAACAUGGAUUCUGCUGAAGAAGUUAAAAGACUCAGAGAGGAGGUGCAGGUUAACAAAAAUCAUAUGCUGCAAUAUAAAAGCAUAGCUCAGGCAAAUGAAGAAGCAUUAAAGCAGAUGGAAUUGGCCUAUGAGAACCUCAAAGUAGAAGCUGAUAGAGUGAAAAAAUCAAUGGAAGAGGAAGCAUUAUCGCUUAGGAAGCAUGUUGAUGAGCUUGAGAGGGAAUGUAAUUUGAAGUCAAUUGAAGCAGCUUCUGCAACUGCAGGAAAAGAAGAAGCCGUUGUUGCUGCUUUAGCUGAAAUAUCCAGUCUGAAAGAAGAUACCUCUGCUAAGACGACACAAAUCUCAAAUUUGGAGGCUCAAAUAACUGCUUUGAAAGAUGAUUUGGACAAAGAGCAUCAAAGAUGGCGUGCUGCUCAAGAUAAUUAUGAGAGACAGGUAAUUCUGCAGUCAGAAACAAUUCAAGAACUGACUAGAACAUCUCAAGCUUUGGCAACCUUACAAGAAGAGUCAUCUGAGCUCCGUAAAUUGUCAGAUAUUCUACAAUCCGAAAAUAAUGCAUUGAAGGCCAAGUGGGAGGCAGAAUUGUCGGUGCUAGAAGUGUCAAAAACUGAAGCUGAGAAGAAAUACACUGAGGCUAAUGAACAGAACAAAAUAUUGCUGGACCGGCUUGAGGGUUUGUAUAUUAAACUGGCUGAGAAGGACCGUGUAUCUUCAGGUGUAUCUGCUGGAAGCACAGUGGCCGAGGGUGAUGACGGACUGAUGAAUGUUGUGAAUUAUCUAAGACGGUCCAAGGAAAUUGCAGAAACAGAAAUUUCUUUGCUCAGACAGGAAAAGCUUCGGUUGCAAUCACAGCUUGAGAAUGCUCUGAGGAGAGCGGAGGUAGCAGAAGCAUCACUUAAUUCUGAGCGGGAGAAUUCAAGAGCUCAGGUUUUAAGUGAAGAGGAGUUUAAAUCACUGCAGCUUCAGGUUAGAGAAUUGAACUUACUUCGUGAAAGCAACUUGCAAUUGAGAGAGGAGAACAGGCACAAUGUUGAAGAAUGCCAGAAACUUCGCCAAGCUGCCCAGAAGAUGAAAACUGAAUUAGAGGAUCUGGAGAAGCUUCUUAAUGAAAGACAAGCUGAUGUAGAAACUUGUAGGAGAGAGAUUGAAAUGCAGAAGCUGGAUAAAGAGAAGCUUGAGAGGAGGGUUAGUGAGUUGGUUGAGAGGUAUAAGAGUUUUGACCUAGAAGAAUAUGCAAGUCUGAAAGAAGCUGCUUCACAGAUGCAGGUGAAUCUGAGAGAAAAAGAUGUAGAGCUGGAGAAAAUUAAGAAAACCAUGUCUGAGCAGCAGAAUCUGGUAGCUGACUUAGAGCAAGACCUUUCAAGGAGCAGAACAGAAUUGAGUCAGAGGGAAUCGAGAAUCAAUGAGAUUUUGCAAACUGAGGCCUCGCUGAGAUCUGAAGUUGAUAAACAAAGAAAGUUGGCAGUUCUAAUGAAGAAAAGGGUUGAAAACUUGUUGAAGGAAAAGGAAAGGGCAGACAGCUUAUCAAAGGAAAAAGAUGAUUUGGCUAGAGAGAAUCAAGCUCUCUCCAAACAGUUGGAAGAUGCUAAACAAUGGAAAAAAACUGCUGAUGCUGCAGAUGAACAGGCUUUGAAAGAUAAAGAAAAGGAGAAAAACACCAGAAUCCAGGGGCUUGAGAAGAUCACAGACCGUCUUAGAGAAGAGUUGAAACAAGAGAGAUCAAAGCGCUUGAAGAUGCAAAAGACAAUAGGGGAUUCCUAUGGAACUGUGAAUCAGCAACGGUCCAAGCUAUCAGAUGAAAUGGACAAGCAUAAGCAGGCUCUGAAGAUGCUUACCGAUGAAGUUGAGAAGAUAAGGCAAACCAAAGGCAGUCAAACAGAGGGCACAUCAGUGGAUCAACUACUUUCUGGGACUCACUUAGAGGAUUUUACUGCUGCAUAUAUUCAGGCUGUAGAUGACUUUGAGCGGGUUGCACGUAAUGAGCUCGGGGUUUCUGGUGCUGGUGACACUUCUGCUCCUGAUGCUUCUCUUUCUGCCUCUGUUGUUCCAGGCCCAGCAGCUACGCUUCCUCCACCAGCUAGCUUGUUGACUUCCAUUCCUGCAGUUGGAAAAGCAGAAGAAGAAAGAAGACUUGUUUUAUCGAAGAUAACCUCUGAAACUCGUAAAAUUGGAAGGAAGUUGGUUCGACCUCGCAUCACAAAGCCAGAGGAACCUUUAGUUGAUGUAGAGAUGCAAGAUACAGAUGAAUCCACCAACAGUAGGAAGCAUUUGCCACCUCAAAAUGCAGAAAAUCUAGAUAAUGCCACAUUAUCAACUCAACCACCAAUUCGCAAGCGCCUAUCUGCAGCCUCUACCUCAGAGUUACAAGAAGAGACUCCUGCCAUGGAUGAAACCUGCUUAGAUGUGGCUCAACCUGUGCUUAAGAAGUCCAAACAUCUAGAGGCACCUCAAGAAGGUGGUGAAGAUAAAUCUGCUGGUAAUGUAGAAAAUUCAGAAUCUCUGCCUACUACGGAGGAACAUGAUGCUGGUGAUGAAACCCAAGGUUUGAAAGAGGAAGCCAGUGAUAUUGAGAAGGAUGAGACUACACUUUCUGGCGAGCAGGUUGAAGAGCCGUCAGUUGUUGCAACAAAUCAGGCUGAGUCACAGGUUGAUAGAACAGAUAUUGCAGAUGAUACUUUUGUCAGUUCUAAUGAAGUGUCUACCCCAGAUAAUAAAUCAACAUUUCAGGUGCAACAAGAGAGUGAGCAGCUAGCGAUGGAUGAAAGGGAAGAGGGAGAGCUAAUUGCUGAUCCUGAAGAUGUUGGAAAUUUUGAUAGCAUUUUAUCAAUGGGAAGCCCAGAAAAUUUGGAACCUCAGAUUGAUGACUUAGCUGGUACUGAUGAAGACCUCUUGCUUACUCCAACAGACCCCGGGGAGAUAGAAUCUUCUCAGCUCCCAGAUGAUGAUAAGAAUGAUGAAGUUGAUGCGACAGAAGAGCUAGCUGAAAGUUCUGAUAAGUUGAAUGAUGGUGGUGACCAGGUUGCUGCAGAAACUGAUCAGGCUGUGGAUACUGUUACUGGUGAGAAACCAUCAAGCAGUCCAGUUGAUAGUAGCAAUUCAAAAGAAGGGGGUCCAGGUGAAAGUGCUGCUGCUGAAACAGAAGAAGGGAAACAGGUCUCACCUGUCAAUAGGAGCUCAAGAACUAUAAACUUAAAUGAGAGGGCUAAAGAAAGGGCUUCUAUUAGGCAGGCUGCUAUGCUUUCUUCUACACCGACAAGAGGCCGUGGGCGAGUUCUUCGAGGUCGCGGUGGGCGCAGUGGUCGUGGUGGUCGCGGUCCAAUCUCUGGUUCACAGGGUUAAUCAUUUUUACUAUCACCUUCCAUUCAUGUUAUCUUCUGAUAUUAAUUCAUCUUGGAGACUCUUCAUGCUAGUGCUCGGUGUUGUCACUACAUUCAUCUUCCAAUGUAAUGUGUUAUAGGGUAAAAAAGAGUUGACUGUUGUUGAAGGAAAUCAAAUUAUGAAGUUUUGACAAGUUUCUUUGAAUUUCUUCUGGUUGGAAACCAAGCUUCAAUGACGUUCUUGCUUUUGUGAUGAAACUCAACCUUGAUGAUGAUGUUCUUGCUUUUCUGAUGACCUUCUUUCUGUUUGGAGAAGAUGUUGUCCAUGUUUAAUGGACUGUUUGGCUGUCCUUGCAAGUUUUGUGGCCAUCUAUAGCGCCCUAUGCCACGGUCAGGGUGCUUGCCCUUCUGUAAUUAGUCUUUUACUACCUCUGGCUAAAGUUAAUGCUGUUUUCUAUACCUUGCUAUAUUCUGCGAAUAUGAAACAGAUUUGACAUUUAUAAGGUUCAAACUUAUACUAAUCCUCAAUCCCAAACAGGUUUACGAUCGGCUCUAUACAUUCUCAAUCCCAAGCUAGUGGAGUGUAUG